GCAGUAGCCGCGGGAAUACGUAGGGUGCAAGCGUUAAUCGGAAUUACUGGGCGUAAAGCGUGCGCAGGCGGUUAUAUAAGACAGAUGUGAAAUCCCCGGGCUCAACCUGGGAACUGCAUUUGUGACUGUAUAGCUAGAGUACGGCAGAGGGGGAUGGAAUUCCGCGUGUAGCAGUGAAAUGCGUAGAUAUGCGGAGGAACACCGAUGGCGAAGGCAAUCCCCUGGGCCUGUACUGACGCUCAUGCACGAAAGCGUGGGGAGCAAACAGGAUUAGAGACCCCCGUAGUCCCUGUCUCUUAUAC
rnacentral:rRNA from 1 species